UACUGAGGAGUCCCACAAUAGGACGAAACGGCCGUCCA
rfam:Schistosoma mansoni strain Puerto Rico chromosome 6, complete genome